GAUGAACGCUGGCGGCAGGCUUAACACAUGCGAGUCGAGCGCCCCGCAAGGGGAGCGGCAGACGGGUGAGUAACGCGUGGGAAUCUACCCAUCACUACGGAACAACUCCGGGAAACUAGAGCUAAUACCGUAUACGUCCUUCGGGAGAAAGAUUUAUCGGUGAUGGAUGAGCCCGCGUUGGAUUAGCUAGUUGGUGGGGUAAUGGCCUACCAAGGCGACGAUCCAUAGCUGGUCUGAGAGGAUGAUCAGCCACGCUGGGACUGAGACACGGCCCAGACUCCUACGGGAGGCAGCAGUGGGGAAUAUUGGACAAUGGGCGAAAGCCUGAUCCAGCCAUGCCGCGUGAGUGAUGACGGCCCUAGGGUUGUAAAGCUCUUUCGCAGGUGAAGAUAAUGACGGUAACCUGAGAAGAAGCCCCGGCUAACUUCGUGCCAGCCGCCGCAGUAA
rnacentral:rRNA from 1 species